UAGUGAUUCUUCAUUUUUCUUGAUAUUUUAACUUGUUUAACAUUUAAUAAUAAAAGUGAAUAGUUUUAUCCUAUGUCUAGUGAUUGCCAAGUGUAAGAUGUCUUCUGAUGACUGAAAUUUUGCACCUGAGUCUGACAUCGUUGAAGGACCAUUCUCGUAUCAGAUUGGAUUUUGCACCUGAGUCUGACACUGUAGAAGGACCAUUUUUGCACCAGAUUGGAUUUUGCACCUGAGUCUGACACUGUAGAAGGACCAUUUUUGCACCAGAUUGUAAGAAUUAAAAUUCUUUAUCACUUGCCUAAAUAACUUUUGUGAUUAUGUCACAAAUUGGCUCCCAAAAUUGCAUUUCUCUGUUCCAAGGACUA